AGAGUGAACGCUGGCGGUAGGCCUAACACAUGCAAGUCGAACGGCAGCACGGUAAGAGCUUGCUCUUAUGGGUGGCGAGUGGCGGACGGGUGAGGAAUACAUCGGAAUCUACCUUUUGGUGGGGGAUAACGUAGGGAAACUUACGCUAAUACCGCAUACGCCUUCGGGGAAAGCCGGGACCGAGCAAUGGCCUGGCGCUGAUAGAUGAGCCGAUGUCGGAUUAGCUAGUUGGUGAGGUAAUAGGCUCACCAAGGACGACGAAUCCGUAGCUGGUCUGAGAGGAUGAUCAAGCCACAACUGGAACUAGAGACACGGUCCACGACUCCUACGGGAGGCAGCGAGUGGGGGAAUAUUGGACAAUGGGCGGACAAGCCUGAUACCAGACCACUAACCG
rnacentral:rRNA from 1 species